CCUACGGGGAGCAGCAGUAGGGAAUUUUCGUCAAUGGGCGCAAGCCUGAACGAGCAAUGCCGCGUGAACGAGGAAGGUCUUCGGAUCGUAAAGUUCUGUUGAAGGGGAAAAAGAGCGGAGAGAGGAAAUGCUUUCUGAUUGAUAUUACCCUUCGAGGAAGUCACGGCUAACUACGUGCCAGCAGCCGCGGUAAUACGUAGGUGGCGAGCGUUAUCCGGAAUGAUUGGGCGUAAAGGGUGCGUAGGCGGCCUGCUAAGUCUGGAGUGAAAGGUACCGGCUCAACCGGUACAGGCUCUGGAAACUGGCGGGAUAGAGAGCAGGAGAGGGCGGUGGAACUCCAUGUGUAGCGGUAAAAUGCGUAGAUAUAUGGAAGAACACCAGUGGCGAAGGCGGCCGUCCGGCGCCCUACUGACGCUGAGGCACGAAAGUGCGGGGAUCGAACAGGAUUAGAUACCCGGGUAGUC
rnacentral:rRNA from 1 species